GGGCGGGCGAGGGGAGAGGACUGAACACCGGGGACCGGACAGGCCGGGCCGAGGGGCGGCAGCGAAAGGCAGAGCGCCGCGAUCUCUGUCGGGAAGCGCAACCUCCCCGGGCCCCGCGGGGCCGCGCAGGGGGCGUUCUCAGUCCCGCGCCCGCUCCCUCUUUCCAUCCCCUGCCGCCCGCAGGCCAUCCCGGGGCCCGGUUAUCCGCGCGCGCGUACCCGGGCUCGGGCCUCUCCCCGGUCCUCGAGGGAGCCGUUGCCCUCACCGAGACCUCUGCAGCGGCCGCACCAGAGGCCGCCUGGGCAGGACCCCGGCGUGAGCAUCGAGCGCCCCCCAAGGAGUGCACGACCCCCGGAGCCGCCCUCAACACGGACCGCGCCCGCCGGGCACACAAGAAUGGUCACUCAGAUACUCGGGGCCAUGGAGUCUCAGGUGGCGGGGGGCCCGGCCGGCCCGGCCCUGCCCAACGGGCCACUCCUUGGUACAAACGGAGCCACUGAUGACAGCAAGACCAACCUCAUCGUCAACUACCUGCCCCAGAACAUGACCCAGGAUGAGUUCAAGAGUCUCUUCGGCAGCAUUGGUGACAUUGAGUCCUGCAAGUUGGUUCGGGACAAGAUCACAGGGCAGAGCCUCGGCUAUGGGUUUGUGAACUACUCUGACCCCAACGAUGCAGACAAAGCCAUCAACACCCUCAACGGCCUCAAACUGCAGACAAAGACCAUCAAGGUGUCCUAUGCCCGACCCAGCUCUGCCUCCAUCCGGGAUGCGAACCUGUACGUCAGCGGGCUCCCCAAGACCAUGAGCCAGAAAGAGAUGGAGCAGCUCUUCUCUCAGUACGGCCGCAUCAUCACUUCUCGCAUCCUGGUGGACCAGGUCACAGGUGUCUCUCGGGGUGUGGGAUUCAUCCGCUUUGACAAGAGGAUCGAGGCCGAGGAGGCCAUCAAAGGACUGAACGGGCAGAAGCCGCUGGGAGCGGCUGAGCCCAUCACGGUCAAGUUUGCCAACAACCCGAGUCAGAAGACCGGGCAGGCCCUGCUUACUCACCUGUACCAGUCCUCCGCCCGGCGCUACGCAGGCCCCCUGCACCAUCAGACACAGCGCUUCCGGCUGGACAAUUUGCUCAACAUGGCCUACGGAGUCAAGAGUCCCCUGUCGCUUAUCGCCAGGUUCUCACCCAUCGCCAUCGAUGGCAUGAGCGGCCUUGCGGGCGUGGGCCUGUCGGGGGGCGCGGCGGGCGCAGGCUGGUGCAUCUUCGUGUACAACCUGUCUCCGGAGGCGGACGAGAGCGUGCUGUGGCAGCUGUUCGGGCCCUUCGGGGCGGUCACCAACGUCAAGGUCAUCCGUGACUUCACCACCAACAAGUGCAAGGGCUUCGGCUUCGUCACCAUGACCAACUACGACGAGGCGGCCAUGGCCAUCGCCAGCCUCAACGGCUACCGCCUGGGCGAGCGCGUGCUGCAGGUGUCCUUCAAGACCAGCAAACAGCACAAGGCCUGAGGCGCCGCCGCCCUCCCCACCCUCCCCAGGCAGCAGAGACAGACAGAGAGAGAGAGAGAGAGAGAGAGAGAGAGAGAGAGAGAGGGGGGCCCGAGAGAGACAGCGCAGGCAGACCAUGGACGGCACGAGGGCCCCGCGUCCCUGCAGAAGCCACAGGCCUCAGUGCCCUUCCUCCGAUGUCCCUGCGUUUGGUGUCUGGCCAUGGCCCCAUCUGACUGCCCAGCUCUCUCUCCCCCACCCCUCCCGGUGUUGUUAAACGUCUGUGGAGCUUCUGCUGCAAGGAACAAAAAGAAAAAAAAAAAAAAUCAAAAAAGCGACAAAAAAACACAAACAGAAGAGGAAAAAAAGCGACAAAAAAAAGGAAGAGAAAAAAAAAAAAACCCCACACAGAAGAGAUUUAAAAAAAAAAAAACAGGAAAAAAAAAACAAAAAAACAGACACGAACUGGCACCAGUUAACUUUCUUGUACUUUUUUGCCGAAUUGAGCUUCUUGUAGUUUUAACUUAUUGCUAUGUUAACUAUUUAUCCUCCUUGUUGCCCUGUAAGGACAUUUGUGUAUAUUUCUGUUCCUUCAUCCAGUUUGCAAGUUUAAAGGAACCACGAUGUUCUCUUUGUUUCUUUAAGUUUUUGCCGAGACGUGGUUAUGCCUAAUUUAUUUAUAAAAGGGGAAGUGGAAUCAUUAAAGUAAUAAUAAUUAUUAAUAACAGUAAUGGUAGCCGAGCGGCGCCCCAGGGGGCCUGUGCUCUGCAGGGCGGUCCCCGCGGCCAGCGACGUCCGGGGUCUUAAUGGGAUUAUUUUUGCUUGUCUUGAGAAUUUUUUCAGUCCUAUUUAGCUGGUGAAACCCUAGCUUGUUCUUGAUACACGAACCUAUUUAUUCUUGUGGUUUUUAAGUCCUCCCCGACCUCCCCACUCCCCUCCAGCAGGGCAGGCCCCCUAGCGGGUCCAUCCCUCUCCCUCUGUUUUCUUGGGGCUUUCUCCCCUCUGCCCUCCGCGCGCGGUGACACGUGUCCACACGUGGGCAGCGUGGCGGAGGCAUCUGUGAGCAAUAAGCGCUGGGUUUGUCCCCCACCCUGGGGGGGGCCGGGCUCUGGAGAGGGGGCACCUCCCCACACCCCCUCACUGAGGCCUGGGCCCCUGCCACCCCCAAGACUGGGAGGGGACUCCUUUUUCUAAAACACAGAACUCAGCCCAGCCAGCCAGGCCCCCUUCCUGGAGGCCAGCCCCUCACCCCAGGGGAGAGGGCCUGGGGUCUUCCACAUCCCUGGGGGGCAGGGGCAGGGCCCGUGGAGAAGGGGCUCAGCCCCUCCAGCCCUCCCUUCAUCCUGUUAUUUAUUUGGAUGGUUUCAAAUCAAGACAGAGUCCAUGUUGGAGGUGAUAAAGAACUGUUAAAAAAAAAAAAAAAAAAGACAAAAAAAAAGAACAAAAACAAAAAACCAAACCCAAAACCCAACAAGAACACUUUGCGUUGAGUUUAGACACUAUUUAUUACCGAGAUUACAGGCCUGGCCGCGGUAACAGACUUUUACAUGGAAUUGUUUAAUUAUUUGUACUUUUCAUGCCAGAA